GUUACAUUUCCGUCACGCAGUAUCCAGAAUAAACAACUGGUGGCAGCCAUUUUUGUUUCGCGAUUCGACACCGAGCUUUUCAUUUACAGUUUCAUUUUUGCCUUGGCUACAAAUUCACAUGGCAUUGUCAAACAGAAGAGAGUAAUCAAGGGAUAGCAACCAAAGAAUCAAUUUCAGUAGAUCAACCAAGGAAACAUGUUCAUUUUCAACAUGCAAAGCAGAACCAUGAGGAAAAUCAAUGCUUCGCUGUUGACUUUCUAUAUACCUGGAUACUGGAUAGACUGACGCUGAAGAAGCCCUGGAUAUUAUAGUAAGCUUCAACAGGACAUGGUAAAAUACAAGCCAGCAUGGAAUAUCAGCUGUCAUCAAGAUAAGACAGGAUUUUUUAUAUCCAGACUUCUGCAAGACUGCAGUGAAAGCUACACUAGACCAGCAAGGGUCAUGAAGUUGGCCGCAGUGAAAGGUCUGUGGGCGAGAUUGCUGACCGAUAGAUGACCAACUUCUACCAAUGCCUAAUCAUCACACCACCUCUAACUAUCCAUAAGAAGCCAAUCAUGGUGUUAUUACAAUGACAUUAUGCCUUUCAUUGUAAAACUAGAUAGACAUUUCUAACAGUAAUUAUAGUCAAGGAUGUGCGUGAGAAGGUGAUGAAUGGAAUUUUUAACCUGUAUGACCCAGGAUGCCUGAUGGGUAUUAUCCAGAAUGCCAAUACAAGAUUGUAGUUGUAUACAGUAAAGAAAAGGAAUCCUAGAUAACACUAGUACUACUAGUAGGUUUUAGCAGUUGAAGAGGGAAAUCUUAUUUUUACUUAGAAUAAAAAUACUUAGAUAAUACUGCUGAUAAGAUUUAAUUUUUACAUUUUGUUUCGCAGUAGUAUAAUUGUUUUUAAAUUGCUAAAUAAACCUAGAACAUCAAAUUUAAAAUUAGUUAACUAAGGGAAGUUCACUUUUCAGGUUGCUAUACUUGAUAGCAAUGAAUUUAGAGGUGGAUUACAAAAAAAAUUUUUUUUGCUUUUUAUGAUCAAAAUUUUUCUUAGGGGUGUAUGUCUCUACUUUUAUUCCUGGUUGUUUAUUUGAUAACAUUUUCUUUGUAUAAAGUGAUAUUUAUGUGUACCAUUGCACAUUGUUCCUAAAAAUAUAAGCAUGGUAUGAUAAUAACAAUAAAAUUAUCUCUAAAACUGACAUCGCAAUAGUUUUUUCUGUUUUUCUCGCAUUUGUGUUUUUCUGUAAUUUAUAAAACCGUACGGAAUAUCUCUCAUUAAUGAGGAGUCAUAGGAGGUUCUAACUUUGCAAAAUUAUUUCAAAUACAUAUAUCUAUUGGAUGUCAAAGCAGAAUUGAGUUUGCUUUGAUAGUUUUUUUUUACCAAUUUUUUUUUUGAAUGGUAUUCAAUUUUUUCUGUGCAUUCCGAGAGCAUGUUAAGACAAAAAUUCAUAAAAAAUAAUCUAACAAAGAUUUAAAAAAAUCCCUUUGUCAUCCAAUAGACAUGUACAAUUCAAAACAACAUGUAAAGUUUAAAUACAUUCUAUCAAAUGGUUUAGAAACUAGAUUCCGCACAAAUAUAUAGUAAUAAUUGGUAUAUUUUCACCCCAGACGCGCCUAAAAUACUUAUUUUUUGUUUUUUUACUCAGAAUAAAAUUUCUAUAAGUUAGUCAAUACUUAUGUUUCUAUUAUAUAACAAAAAAUAGUACAGACACUGCCUUUUAAAUUUUUUUGCAAAUCCUCAUGACGG